UCGGAUAUGGUGUAACGGCUAACAUUGCCGCCUCUCAUAUAUCGAGAUGCAGGUCGCGGCAGCUCGGGGUUCGAUUCCCCGUAUCCGAA